rnacentral:rRNA from 1 species
GACGAACGCUGGCGGCGUGCUUAACACAUGCAAGUCGAACGGAAAGGCCCUGCUUUUGUGGGGUGCUCGAGUGGCGAAAAGGGGAGUAACACGUGAGUAACCUGCCCUUGACUGUGGGAUAACUUCAGGAAACUGGGGCUAAUACCGGAUAGGAGCUCCUGAUGCAUGGUGGGGAUGGGAGAGUUUCGGCGGUUGGGGAUGGACUCGCGGCUUAUCAGUUUGUUGGUGGGGUAGUGGCUUACCAAGGCUUUGACGGGUAGCCGGCCUGAGAGGGUGACCGGCCACAUUGGGACUGAGAUACGGCCCAGACUCCUACGGGAGGCAGCAGUGGGGAAUAUUGCACAAUGGGCGGAAGCCUGAUGCAGCAACGCCGCGUGCGGGAUGACGGCCUUCGGGUUGUAAACCGCUUUCGCCUGUGACGAAGCGUGAGUGACGGUAAUGGGUAAAGAAGCACCGGCUAACUACGUG